GAAGACCCCACGGUAGGGGCGGGACCCAAGAUGGCCGCUUGUCUGGGGACAGGAGCGGCGGCCAAUACACGCAGAGCAUGCGCCUACGCCGGGCCAAUUGAAAGCCAUAGUGACAGUAACCCUGAUUCAGGGGCGGGAAACACUGACCACAGAAGACAAGUUGAGGGAGAACAAAGGUUAACCACUGACAUCAGCUUCAGUCACCCAAAAGCCAGAUGAUACCAGAGGAAGACAACAGCCAGAUGAUACCAGAUAGCCAGAUGAUACCAGAGGAAGACAACAGCCAGAUGAUACCAGAGGAGUUAAUAUUAACAAGAACAAGCUGUCAUGUUAUGAAGACACUCAAGCAGCCCAUUGGAGAGGCCCACAUGAUGAGGAACUGAGGCCUCCUGCCAAAAACCAUGUAAACAAACCAUCUUGGAAGUGGAUCUUCCAGCCCCAGUCAAGAUUUUAAAUGACUGCAACCCUGGCCAAUGUCUUGAUCACAAUAUCAUGAGAGACCAUAAACCAGAGCCACCCAGUUAAGCUUCUUCAUAAUCUUGCACCCACAGAAACUGAGAUAACAAAUGUUUGUUGUUUUAAGCUAGUAAAUUUUGGGAUAAUUUAUUAUGUGGUCAGGAGUUCAAGACCAGCCUGGCCAACAUGGUGAAACUCUGUCUCUAAUAAAACUAC